rnacentral:rRNA from 1 species
UUCCGGUUGACCCUGCCAGAGGUUACUGCUAUCGAGGUCCGACUAAGCCAUGCGAGUCGAAUGUAGCAAUACAUGGCAUACUGCUCAGUAACACGUGGACAACCUACCCUGGGCACGGGGAUAAACCCGGGAAACUGGGUAUAAUACCCGAUAGUUCUGGGAUGCUGGAAUGCUCCCAGGACGAAAGCUCCGGCGGUCCAGGAUGGGUCUGCGGCCUAUCAGGUAGUAGUGGGUGUAACGUACCUACUAGCCUACGACGGGUACGGGUUGUGAGAGCAAGAGCCCGGAGAUGGAUUCUGAGACACGAAUCCAGGCCCUACGGGGUGCAGCAGGCGCGAAAACUUUACAAUGCUGGCAACAGCGAUAAGGGGACCUCGAGUGCCCAGGAUACAUCUUGGCUGUCG